rnacentral:rRNA from 1 species
UGGGGAAUAUUGGACAAUGGGCGAAAGCCUGAUCCAGCGACGCCGCGUGUGUGAAGAAGGCCUGCGGGUUGUAAAGCACUUUUAGUGGGGAUGAAAAGCCUAGAGCUAAUACCUCUGGGUCUUGACCUAACCCACAGAAAAAGCACCGGCUAACUCUGUGCCAGCAGCCGCGGUAAUACAGAGGGUGCGAGCGUUAAUCGGAAUUACUGGGCGUAAAGCGUGCGUAGACGGUUAUUUAAGUCGGGUGUGAAAGCCCCGGGCUCAACCUGGGAAUUGCAUUCGAGACUGGAUAGCUAGGGUACGGUAGAGGGAAGUGGAAUUUCCGGUGUAGCGGUGAAAUGCGUAGAUAUCGGAAGGAACAUCAGUGGCGAAAGCGACUUCCUGGACCAGUACCGACGUUCAGGCACGAAAGCGUGGGGAGCAAACAGG